UACGUAGGGGGCGAGCGUUAUCCGGAAUUACUGGGCGUAAAGCGCGCGCAGGCGGUUCUCCAAGUCAGUGGUGAAAGCCCGGAGCUCAACUCCGGAACUGCCAUUGAAACUGUUGAACUUGAGGACGAGAGAGGUGAGUGGAAUUCCCAGUGUAGAGGUGAAAUUCGUAGAUAUUGGGAAGAACACCGGUGGCGAAGGCGGCUCACUGGCUCGUAUCUGACGCUCAGGCGCGAUAACGUGGGGAUCAAACAGG
rnacentral:rRNA from 1 species